GCUGAGAGUGCUGUUAUACUCCCACCACUAUCUCUACUCACUACUUCUCAGGUCAUAAACUUCUCUCUCUGUUCAUCCAAGAGUUGUAUUUUGCCAGUAGGUUCCCAUAGGCCUGAUUCAUCAUUGUGUGAUUCCAGUUUUAUACUUCAUGUCAAAAUGUAAUGCUCAGAUGAAUUUGCAAACCCUCAGAAAAUGGGGCCUUGCCCAUUACUAUCCUCAGAUAAGCAUAGGGCUCUAAAAAUAUAAAACUUCUGAGUUUCAACUUUCUACACCCCACUUGUGUCAGCAUCGUUUCCAGACUAAAACACUUGUGAUGUGAGGCCAUUAGGACUGAGAUUUAAAUGACUCACUAGAACCUGAAGCAUUAAAACAAAGCCUUAAAACAAAGGAGGCUUGCCAGUUUGGGUCCAGGACCAAGUUUCAAAGUAUUUCGAUUUCUUUCCAAACCAUGCAAGGGAAUCAUAUACUUAUGACUCUGGUUUUGUCUUCCAUCCAUUUGAAAGCAGAAAGAAAAGCAAAAACAAGGGAGAUGUUUAUAUUUGUUGGCCAGAGAAUGAACCUAAGUUUUGGCUGAAAUUGCUUUUUGUUGAGAGAAGACACUGCAGGACGGAGCCAUCACAGCUGAAAUGAAAAAUGUUUGCAGUUGUUAUUUUAAGCUAAAGCAGAGAUUUGGGGAGAUUUGCACAUUAAGGAGAGCAGCAGAAAAGAGACAGAACAGAUGAGAUCCUUCUUUAAGAGUCUCAGAUCUGACACAUUAGCCUCUCGUCAGCUGAAAGCACUUUAGAAGUUUCUCUAGCAUGUUGUUUCAGGAAUCAGGUGGCUCAGGGAACUGGGAAUAAUAUAUAGAUGCUUUCAACUCUAAAUCACAGAUUCAAAUCUAAUACGUCAGGAGUGGCCAAAAGACAUUACAAAAAUAGUUUGCGCUGCUUCUGUUGGCUUCUUUUGUCUGAAGAUCAUGACAUCCUUUGUAUAUAUUUUUGACAUAAGUCGCACAAGACACGUGUGUGUGUGGCAGGUAAAUAUUUUUAUCCCUUUUCAUCAGUGAAGAAACUGCUGUGUAGUAGGUCAGAUUUUAAAGGAUUUUCACUUUCAUUGAAAUCAGUGAGAGUUAGGUACCUUAAUACCUUUAAAAAUAUGACCUAAUGUGCCUAAGUGCUUAGACAGAUAAUCAAACAUACCAAAUUGCAAAGGAAAGGGGCUUUAUCCCUCAUCAACUGCCCUGCAGUAUCUGUUUCAUGUGUUUGCUCCUAUCGUGCAGAGUAUAUAAGCUAAACCAUAGAAACUGAGUCCUAUUUCAUUCAGGAAGAAGCUGCCCUGAUUAGCUUACACUUACUGUGCAGAAGGCGCAGCCACAGAAACCAGUCCUGCAGAAGAGCCAGUAUGGGGAAGAAAUAAAUCCCUGUUGAUUAGAAGAGAUGCAGUUUACAUAUGUAUGUGUGAGCACCUGUGCAUGUAAUCACAUACACAGUAACACCAGUCAGCAGAGGUGAAGUGAGUGUAAUUCAGAAACAGGGAUUCAUGGAUAAGAAGUACCUGUGGAUUAUAACUAUCUGGAUUAUUUUGAGUGCAAAUGUUUUAUACCUUCCAUGGGAGGUUCUGCAACUCAGACUAACUAAUUAUAUGCCUAAAUACAACUCUAAGUGCCUAACAUUAAGCACCCAAGUGUGAAAAUGAUAGCCCAAAUCUGCUCCAAUGCCUUGCCACCAACUGGCAGAUACACACAGGCCACUUUGCAUGAACAAUAAAAGCCUUAUGAGAAGCUGAAAUCCUGUGAGCCUGAGCAUGAGCAGGCCCGGAGAUAAAAUGCUUUCAAUGUGCACAACAGAUGGGGGCUUUAGAGUGAGGAGCUGAUAAUCUGUGGAUUAAAGACUCCCUAAUUACACAAUGACACUUCAAAACCAUGCCAGCCCCUGUUGUUUCAGUGAUGUACCACCUUCCGAGUGGAAGAUCCUAAGGAUCCAGCACUCCUUUAAUGCCCGCUGACAUGCUUCAGUGCUGCUACAGUGUCUGUGUGGCAUUAAUCUACAGAUCUGGGACUCCCUGCAUCCAUACCAGGGUGGCUGUGUGUCAUGCUUCCAGGAAGAAGUCCAUGUCUAUGUGAAGACCAAGUUGCACCUCAAUGGAAGAACUAAAAUUGAAAUCUUGUCUUCUCUACCACGAGACCUCAAACCUGUUGCCAGCUUGUGCCAACUAAUGUCUGGAUCAUGAAAUUGGACUCAGUGUCAAGUAAUGGAUUCAUAAAGCUAAUAAUUUAAAUAUUUUCACUGAACUUUUAAUGGCAUCAAAACACUAUUCAGUUUAGAACUGCUAGGAAAUAUCUACAGUGAGUCUGUUAACUGACGCCUAUAAUAUAUGUUUCCCUGUAUCCUAAUAUGCAUUUUAAAUACCAAUUAAUCAAUCUACCAGCUUAUCUAUUUAACUAUGUUCUCAUCACCAGUAAUAAUAACAGUGAUUAUAAUUUUGAAGUGGAAAAUAGAAAUUUUUAAAGAAACCUUCAAAAAUUGGGUAUGAACUGUUUUUCUGCAUUUUUCCAACUAUCUCUACCAGUAAUACUUUACUUUGAUGAUCAUCUCUCUCUUUGAAUCAGCUACUGAACGCAGGUAACUGGGGGGAGCUUUACAGUUUCCUAAAGUCCUGAAUGCCGAUACUUUUCUGUAAGUCACCCAUCUGAGACCUUCAGUGACGUGCACAGCAUCUUCCUGCCCAUUAUGUUCCUAGCUGGAAAUGAGGAUCUAGCAUGUGUUUUUGAAAAUGGAGACUGACACUGCUCAAUUGAACAUUAGGCUUAAACACGUGGACAAAGGGUCAUGUGAAACCUACUCCUGGAAGUGAGGGCAUGAUGUCUAGGAUGUCUUUAGCCCCAUCUAGGACUGGAAGUGAAGUCUCUGAGUUGCUUCUAUCAUGGCUGAACACAAUGUCGCAUAAGGGUUAUGGGUCCUACCUCCUCUCUUUCAUAGUGUCCUCUUUCUUUCCCACUUUUUCAUGUGGCAGUCAAUCUUUCCAUUUGAGAGAGACGCAAGCUUGAACAUAAGCUGCCUACCAAGGCCAGGAAGCACAUUUCUUCUCAGUGGCAUGGGGCUCUCCCAGCCCAGUCCUGAUGUACCGCAAAUGGCCCAUUGCCAAUCCUUAGGGCUUUUAUUGUGUUUAGAUAAAUGUCCAAACAAUGGAAAACUACUGCUGUCCAAAUUGGCUGGCAAAGUGGCAUAGAGAAACCUUUUAAUAUGCAGACAGAAUGAUAUUUCCUUUUACACAAGCUCUUUGUGCCCAAGACAGACACAGACAGACACUGAUGACUCAGUCCUUCACUCAACAGACCCUGUUUAAUUGCAGUAGCCUGGGUAAGACCUGAGUCAUGUAGGAAUACUGCACGCUUCCUACAUGUUUCUUUGUCUUCAAAACUUGCUGUAGCAGAACUAGCCUCAGAAAUGAAUGGUUGCUUGUAUGAGGCUCACCUGGACAUCCCUCAGUGGCUAGAUCUAUCUGGGUAGAAGAUAAAGAAUUUGACUCUGACUCCACAUCUGAAUUUCAGAUUUGUUCUUAUUCUUUGCAAAAACACACUUUUGGAUCUGAUCAGCUCCUGCUUUCAAAAAUACAAAAUUAGUAUCUAAAACCAAAGCUGGGGCUCAGACCAAUCUUCAGAAUCUGAUUUAGACUUGGGCACAUACACGUGCUCUGGGAGUGGAGGGGGAGGGAGAGGUGCACUUUAAUUAGAGUGGCUCCAAGAGUCGCUCUGAUUAAAGCGCCUGGAGUGUCUUGUGUAUCAGCAUCCCCAUGCUUAAAAAUGGUGGUAGGAACACUUUAACUAAAGCUCAUCGAAUGAGCUUUUAAGUGCAGGGACACUGAUACACAAGACGCUGGAGUCUGCUGGAGCGCAGUAACUACCAGGCUCCAGUAGACUUGAUCAAUCGAGUCUGCUCUGAUGCUCCAUAAUUACAGCGCAUCAGAGCAACCUCGCUGCUUGUGUAUAGGCACCCUAUGUUUCUGGUUUGAUAUCACCACCAGUACUUCAAUAGAAGUACUCUUGCUUGACACUGGUGAAAACAUCAACAUCAGGAGCUAAGUCAAAAUACUGCCCACUUUCCUUACUCUGAAAUACAGUCUGAUGAAGUCUGCCCCAUAAUUUCUGGUUUUACAAUACCAAUCAAGGAUGCAAUGAAUUAGAUUGAUCCUGUAUGUUGAUAGCUGUCAGAACAGAUGCACAGCCCAGCCCCUGGAUUGAGUGGUAGCGUGGCUGUUCCUUCCCACUCGAAAUGUUGGCAUGGAAGCUGCCUUUUCCAGGAAGAAACUGCUAAGUUCUUCUGUGUGGGCCAUACUACUAUGCUAAUAUGAUGGCAGACAGCUUGCUGACAGCCUUUGGGGAGGAAUGCGUCUUGCUGUAAGUCUUCAGAAUCAAUGGCAAGGCUCCAGAGCUGGCGCUUUUUAUCAGUCUAGUGCACGGCUGGUAUUUUAAGUGAACAAGUCUGGCAAGGCGGAACAGUCCCUUAUCAUCAGGGCAGUUUCUCUCCCUCAUGUUGAUGUAUGAGGCAGUAUUUCUGGGCAGUCAGAGGUCCUGAUCCCUCUCUUCUGUUUGCAUAUUUAGAUGCUUUUAAAUAGAUUUAGUGCUUUGGAAAAGGCCCACAUCUGUAGCCCCAGGGGCUGAGAUUCUUUUUGUUUCAAAAGAUGCAUGUAUUAUGAACAAGAGCAGUGCAAGUUCUGCUGUUCCUCUUUUAGUCUGCUCCCAUUAUACCACCAAACAAUUUCUACUGUGACCUGCGGUGGCAAAUUGGGGGGGUUACAGGCAAUUUAUUUUCCAUGUAUAUUCAGUUCUUGGCCUACUUACCAAAACUGUUGUAAGAUGACAAUGAUCAUGAUGAGCCUUCCUUUAAAUGGAUGCCUGUCUACUUGGAGCUGGAGAGAGGGAGGACACUGUAUACCAUUAAAUUACUUUUGGUCCCAUGGUCCUCUCACUUUAGAGUAAACAGGAAUAACUCAGUGGAGUUAUCUCAGUGUAAAAUUGGUGUAAAAUCAUAAUCUGGCCCCUUAGCUCCUCAUUGCAGUCCAGUGCACAGCAAUGCUCAAGGUCUUUACAUUUGUUACACGGAAAUGGCUUCAACAGACAUUGAUAGAGCAGUGCUGCUGUGCAAAUAAAAUAGUGCAAAGUAUUUCAGCCCUUAACAAGCCGGAAGGCAGAAACGUCCUACCUAAUUUAGAUGGCCCAUCCAGCCAAAUUGAAACUGGAUAGUAAUCCAUCCCACUCAGUGUCCAUUCCUGAAUAAUCAAUAAUAGAUGCUUUGGAAGAGGGUUAAAAUAUCCCUAUGUUGACCCCAAACCCAUGUUGCUCUGAUGGUCUGAGCAGCUUUCUUGCAGCCUAAACCUGUAGAUGGGCAGCUUAUACCCAUUUGUUUUUGGGCCACCGCUAUUCUUCAGCUUAAAUAGCUCUUCCUCUCCCUCUCCACCUGACAUGGAGGUUUUUAUAGCCAGAAAUUAGAUUCCCCCUCUCAGCCUUCCUAUUGGUAAACUAAACAAGUGAUGCUUGUUUCACAGCCCCUAGAUUGCCUUACGUGCACAACGUUUCCCUUUGAUUCGACUGUAACUCUGUUGCCUUUUCAUGUCAAGGGCCCUUUUGGUUUGGUAAAAUAACCAAGGGCAAGUAAGAGUGUGUGUGGCAGGACCUCUUUGCUUAUUCCUUAUUUUAAGAGGGCUUUGUACGUGGGCUUGGGUACCUUUGAACACUUAGGAAGUAUGGAUCUGAAUCCAUAUAUGAACGUGUAGCCUAUAAUGUAUUGUAUUAUCUUAGUCUGGCAGAAAGCUGCCAUUUCACUUUCCAGAUCCAGAUCCCAGUGGAUCACAGAGAAGAAUAAUGAAUGGCUCUUUAAAGUAAACGAGGCAUCCUCAGACUGGGCUAUAAAACAUGCUUCGUUUAGGGUUGCAAUGGACUUCAGCAUGAAAGAUUGUAAAAGACACCACCCAGCUACUACUUUGAACUUCAAAAAUGUGCUUUCCAUUUGUCCUCUAAGACUGUCAUUGGCAGCUCCCUUCUACAAGGUCUCUAUUGUGGUCCACAGUGCCUCUACUGUUUGUGCUUUCCUUCUGCCUAUGGGCUUAUGGGCUUCCCCAGAAAGGCAAAAUAAUAUUUUGUCUCUCUGACAACAACUGCAAUAAAAGCAUUGCUGUGCUGCCGCCCUGAGUAGGAGCAUGAAGGCACUGAUUCUUCUCUGCAGAAUGAAACACUCAGCAAAAGUGUGACAGGCCCAAUGUGUUUUCAUGAGCAUAGGAAGGCCGGGAAGUGUCAGGAGAAUGCCACACCCAAGGAUUUUGUGGGAGGAAAAGCAUUUCUUGCCAUGUAUGAACUGUCCACUGCAUGUUUGAAGUGGAGGACUGUCAGAUCAGCAUUUCCGAGCCUCUGUGUUGGUAGAAGGACUUACUUAUGACACGAGUCAUGCAAGGACUCAACACAUCCACCACCUCCCAUGCAGGCUUCAGCCGAGUAAAACAGCCUUCAGAAGGGAGACCUUUUAUUCUGUACCGUUGUCCAUUUCUAAGAUCAUAAAGCUUCACAAUACACUUGAUAGAUGGGAAACUCAGGCAUGGAAAAAUGAAGUAACGUGCCCCAGAUCAAAGAAAGAAUCAGUGGUGGAGCAAGGAAUAUGAACCCAGGUUUCCAGAUUGACAGCCCAGUGCUUUGCUUUGGGCAGGCACAUUAAAAAAAUAUAUUGUCCCAGUUAACCUGCAGCCUCUUUGCCAAUAUUUGUGUUGGAAUGAAAUAAAAGCUUUUUGUGUCUGUUCCCCCUCUA